AUUGAACGCUGGCGGCAUGCCUUACACAUGCAAGUCGAACGGUAACAGGUCUUCGGAUGCUGACGAGUGGCGAACGGGUGAGUAAUACAUCGGAACGUGCCUAGUAGUGGGGGAUAACUACUCGAAAGAGUGGCUAAUACCGCAUGAGAUCUACGGAUGAAAGCAGGGGAUAGCAAGACCUUGUGCUACUAGAGCGGCCGAUGGCAGAUUAGGUAGUUGGUGGGAUAAAAGCUUACCAAGCCGACUAUCUGUAGCUGGUCUGAGAGGACGAUCAGCCACACUGGGACUGAGACACGGCCCAGACUCCUACGGGAGGCAGCAGUGGGGAAUUUUGGACAAUGGACGAAAGCCUGAUCCAGCAAUGCCGCGUGCAGGAUGAAGGCCUUCGGGUUGUAAACUGCUUUUGUACGGAACGAAAAGCCCCGGGUUAAUACCCUGGGGUCAUGACGGUACCGUAAGAAUAAGCACCGGCUAACUACGUGCCAGCAGCCGCGGUAA
rnacentral:rRNA from 1 species